AUGACCAUGAGGGCCCCUUCUCAGCUCCUGGGGCUCCUGCUCCUCUGCCUCCCAGGUGUCAGAUGUGACAUUAUGAUGACCCAGUCUCCGUCCUCCUUGCCUGUGUCCCAUGGAGACAGAGUCACCAUCACCUGCAGGGCCAGUCAGGGCAUUAGCAAUAAUCUACACUGGUAUCAGCAGAAACCAGGCCAAGCUCCUAAGGUCCUCAUCAAAUAUGAAAACACUUUUGGGGUCCCCUCGAGGUUCGGUGGCAGUGGAUCUGGGACAGAUUUCACUCUCAUCAUCAGUAGCCUGGAGCCUGAGGAUGUUGCUGAUUAUUACUGUCAACAAAGUAAUAGUUUCCCUCCCACAGUUACACAAGCCAUGACAAAAACUUCCCAGGGAGCAGAAGUGUGA